UGUUGGGCCCCAAGAGCGUCA
rnacentral:misc_RNA from 1 species